rnacentral:rRNA from 1 species
CUCUCGCCGGCGACCGGCGCACGGGUGAGUAACACGUAUGCAACCUGCCCCUGUCAGGGGGACAACCCGCCGAAAGGCGGGCUAAACCCGCGUACAUGCCACCGGGGCAUCCCGGAGGCAGGAAAGGCUUCGGCCGGACAGGGAUGGGCAUGCGGCGCAUUAGGCAGUAGGCGGGGUAACGGCCCACCUAACCGACGAUGCGUAGGGGUUCUGAGAGGAAGGUCCCCCACACUGGUACUGAGACACGGACCAGACUCCUACGGGAGGCAGCAG